UUUUAAUAGUUUAACAAAAACAUUGGUCUUGUAAAUCAAAAAUAAAAUAAUAUUUUUUUAAAACU
rnacentral:tRNA from 1 species